rnacentral:rRNA from 1 species
UGGGGAAUAUUGCACAAUGGGCGCAAGCCUGAUGCAGCCAUGCCGCGUGUAUGAAGAAGGCCUUCGGGUUGUAAAGUACUUUCAGUCGGGAGGAAGGUGGUAAGGUUAAUAACCUUAUCAAUUGACGUUACCGACAGAAGAAGCACCGGCUAACUCCGUGCCAGCAGUCGCGGUAAUACGGAGGGUGCAAGCGUUAAUCGGAAUUACUGGGCGUAAAGCGCACGCAGGCGGUUGAUUGAGUCAGAUGUGAAAUCCCCGGGCUUAACCUGGGAACUGCAUCUGAUACUGGCAAGCUUGAGUCUCGUAGAGGGGGGUAGAAUUCCAGGUGUAGCGGUGAAAUGCGUAGAGAUCUGGAGGAAUACCGGUGGCGAAGGCGGCCCCCUGGACGAAGACUGACGCUCAGGUGCGAAAGCGUGGGGAGCAAACAGG